AUGGGGCCAUCAUUUCUACAUUGCACAGUAAGUCCACAAAGCACCAGGUGUCCUGUGUUACAGCAAGUGGCAGAGCAAGGGCUUCCAGAACAAGGACUUUGUAGAAGUAAGAGGGGCUCAGAAUUAGACUGUGCUAGGACCAGCGCAGCAGAUAGGAAUCCCAGGCUCAAGAGAGGCAAGAAACUUUCUGAGGGUCACUGUACUGGAAGGGAAGAAAGUAGACUUUCAAAUCAAGACUCUCCUGCCACGACCAAGGCAUGCCCCACAGUAACACGUGGUUCCCAUCAAGACGUCCAAGAACUGAAGCAGUUCUCAGGAUGUAUUGCACAUCAGAUGAAUUUUGGAGGAACAAGACAGCGCCGGGGCAGGCGAGAGCCCGACGGGCACUGGGCGACUCGGUGCUGCGCGGAGGAAAAACAACCGAACGUGGGCAAAGGAGAUGCCAAGAAGCCUAGAGGCAAAAUGUCAUCAUACGCGUUCUUUGUGCAAACUUGCCGGGAGGAGCACAAGAAGCAGCAUCCGGAUGCUUCCGUCAACUUCUCAGCGUUUUCUAAGAAGGGCUCAGAGAGGGGGAAGACCAUGUCUGCUCAAGAGAAGGGAAACUCUGGAGACAUGGCAAAGGCCGACCAGGCCCGUUACGAAAGAGAAAUGAAAACCUAGAUCCCUCCCAAAGGGGAAACAAGAACGAUCAAGGAUCCCAACGCGCCCAAGAGGCCUCCCUCGGCCGUCUUCUUGUUCUGAUCUGACUAUCGCCCCCAAAUCAAAGGAGAGCACCCCGGCCUGUCCAUCCGGGAUGUCGCCAAGAAGCCGGGAGAGACCUGGAAUACCGCUGCUGCGGAUGACCAGCAGUCUUACGAGAAGAAGCCAAGCUGAAGAAGAAAUAGAAAAGGAUAUUGCCGCCUUCCGAGCCAAAGGCAAGCCUGAUGCAGCGAAAAAGGGAGUCGUCAAGGCGGAAAAGAGCAAGAAAAAGAAGGAAGAGAAGGAAGAUGAGGACGAAGAGGACGAGGAAGAGGAGGGAGAGGAGGAAGAUGAAGAAGACGAAGAUGAAGAAGAUGAUGAUGAUGAAUAAGUUGGUUCUAGCGCAGUUUUUUUUCCUUGUCUGUAAAGCGUUUAACCCCCCUGUACACAACUCACUCCUUUUAAAGAAAAAAAUUGAAAUGUAAGGCUGUGUAAGAUUUGUUUUUAAACUGUACAGUGUCUUUUUUUGUAUAGUUAACACACUACCAAAUGUGUCUUUAGAUAGCCCUGUCCUGGUGGUAUUUUCAGUAGCCGCUAACCUUGCCUGGUACAGUAUGGGGGUUGUAAAUUGGCAUGGAAAUUUACAGCAGGUUCUUGUUGGUGCACAGCACAAAUUAGUUAUAUAUGGGGAUGGUAGUUUUCUCAACUUCAGUUAUCUCUGAUGCAGCUUAUAAGAAAUAAUUGUUGUUCUGUUAACUGAAUACCACUCUGUAAUU